rnacentral:rRNA from 1 species
CCCUUAGAUGUCCUGGGCCGCACGCGCGUUACACUGAUGCAUUCAACGAGCUUAUAACCUUGGCCGAGAGGCCUGGGCAAUCUUGUUAACGUGCAUCGUGAUAGGGAUAGAUUAUUGAAAUUAUUAAUCUUGAACGAGGAAUUCCUAGUAAACGCAAGUCAUCAGCUUGCAUUGAUUACGUCCCUGCCCUUUGUACACACCGCCCGUCGCACCUACCGAUUGAAUGACUCGGUGAAAAAUCGGGACUGUGGUCUAGCUUGCUUAAUUGCAAACUUGACUGUGGGAACUUUCUUUAACCUAUUCAUUUAGAGGAAGGUGAAGUCGUAACA